rnacentral:rRNA from 1 species
AUGGAGAGCCGUGCUUUAUCUCAUGAUGAAAUCGGGCUGCGGAGGUUGCUAAAAGGCAAGUUGCUUGGGCUGGCCUCCCUCGAACGGACGAUUGCCCACCAGAGAUCCCGGAUUCUUUUCUUGCGAGAAGGGGACGCGUGCACACAGUUCUUCCAUGCGCAUGCAAGUAAUAGGAGGCGCAAGAAUUUCAUUACCAAGCUCAAAGUGGAUGGCGUGGUUACGACUGACAAUGAGUCUAUGGCAGAGGCUGUCGAUUCUUUCUUCUCUAACCUGCUUGGAGACACCACAGACCGGGAGUUCACACUCGAUUUGGAUGAGCUAGGGCUGCCCCGCAAGGACAUGAGUCACCUUGAAAUUGAGUUCAGUGAGGAGGAGAUCUGGACAACCAUUCGUGCUCAGGAGCUUGACAAGGCGCCAGGGCCUAAUGGCUUUCCAGCACGGUUUUACUUGAGCUGCUGGCAGAUCAUAAAAGAUGAUGUCAUGGCAGCCUUCCAGACUUUUGGCAGGAUGGAUUUCCGCGGCCUCACGUCCAUUAACCAGGCUCUUAUUACUCUCCUGCCCAAAACGCCUGCAGCCAUGGAGAUCCGCGAGUUUCGCCCCAUCAGCUUGAUCCAUAGUUUCCCGAAACUUGUUGCCAAGGUGUUGGCAACACGUGUGGCCCCGGACGUCCCAGAGUUGGUCGGAACGCACCAAGGUGCUUUUAUUCAAGGAAGAUGGUUGCAUGAUAAUUACAUGAUGGUGCAAGGGUUGGCCAGAAAGCUUCACGCUUCGAGGCGAGAGGCCGUGAUGCUUAAGCUUGACAUUACAAAAGCCUUCGACACCGUGCACCGGGCAUUCCUUCUGGAGAUCCUCCGACACAUGGGAUUCAACAAUAAAUGGAUGGCAUGGAUCUCUGGCCUUCUAGCUUCGUCCUCCACUAGAGUGCUACUCAAUGGCGUUCCGGGAGAGGUCAUUUACAAUCGACAAGGUCUGCGGCAAGGAGAUCCGGUCUCCCCCCUCUUGUUUGUCCUUGUCAUGGAGGGGCUGCAACGUAUGUUCUACAAGGCCAUGGCGGCAGGGAUUCUGACGCCUCUUGCGACCACCGGCGUUCAGAAGUGCACCUCCAUCUAUGCGGAUGACGUGAUCACGUUCAUUAAGCCGGAUGUGCAAAGUCUCAGGGCGUGUGCUGCGUUGCUGUAUGACUUUGGUGUUGCAUCCGGUCUCAGCACUAACCUGACAAAGUGCUCCGCCCACCCAAUAAGAUGCUCCGAUGAGCAGAAGCAGUUGAUCGCAGCUGAGAUGGAGUGCCAGGUGUUGGGCUGGCCGUGUAAAUACCUUGGGCUGCCUUUGGGGCUACGUAAGAUCACGGCAGCUCAGCUCCAAUACAUGGUUAACAAGAUGGCUGACAAGCUACCUGCUUGGCAGGCGAGACUGCUUUAUCGGGCUGGACGACUCGAGCUGCUUAGAUCUACCUUGAUGUCCAUGCCGAUUCACGCGAUGAUGGCACUUGACCUGCCAAUCAAAACUAUUACUGCCGCGAACAAGAUUUGCCGUGGUUUCCUAUGGAAAGGGCGACGCGAGGUGAAUGGAGGACACUGCAUCGUUGCAUGGAACCAGGUUUGCUCGCCCAAGGAGCAUGGCGGCCUCGGUGUUACGAACUUGCGCUACCUGAACUCUGCACUUAGGGCACGAUGGCCAUGGUUACAGAGGACCGACUCCACCAGGCCGUGGAGUGAGUUUAACAUACAAGUAUCAGAUGAAUCGAUGGGAAUAUACAAGGCAGCGACAAGGUGCACGCUUGGAGAUGGGGAGAUGGCCCGAUUUUGGACAGAUUGGUGGCUCUCUGAUGGCCGCAUCGAGGACACCAUGCCACACCUCUAUGCUAUGGUAAAGAAGCGUGGGCGGCAGAUCACAGUCAAGCAGGCCCUCACCGCUGGAUGGUGGCAAGAUAUGUCCCCGGACAUGGGAACGCAGGCCUUGUUCGAGUUCAUGGCGCUGGUGGACCUAACCCAACAUGUUGAACUGCGACCGGGCAUUGAGGAUGCCAUUGCCUGGACUUGGGAGAGCUCAGGAACAUUUUCUGCGCGAUCGGCAUAUCGCGCCCACUUUGCGGGCCGCAUAGAGAGCGCGGGAGCAGUGCAGGUAUGGAAAUGCAGGGCCCCCCCUGCUUGCAAGUUUUUCACGUGGCUCGCGACACGGAACCGAUGUUGGACAGCAGAUAGACUUCAGCGACGGCAGUUGCCGCACCCAUCGGCAUGCCCAUUCUGUGAUCAGCUGCCUGAGACCUUGGACCAUUUGCUUCUCGGAUGUGUUCUAGCAAGGCAGGUAUGGACCAAGGUCAUGAACACAUGGAGUAGGCCGGACUGGACGCCGUCCGCAGAUUCAAAACUUGUCGAAUGGUGGACUACUCUCAACCCCCAAAAUCAAUUCAGGAAGGAGGCGUGGACGGUGAUAACCCUGGUGUUAUGGAUGCUAUGGAAGCACCGAAACGACAUUGUUUUCAAUGGCGCGUCACCAUCUGUGGACGACCUUCUUGUUAAGAUCGAGUUAGAGUCUUAG